UUUACUUCCAGUUUCAUUUUGCAUUCACUUUUUACCAAAAAGAAAAACACCUUACUUCCUGAGCAUAAGCACUUGAGCUCUGCUCUUUUUUGUGUCAGUCCACACUUAGCAUAAAUGUGAUGCAGAACAGUUCUAGCAGCCAUCCUCCUCCUGAUAAAUCCAUUUCCAGUGCAAAUAGUGCCUGUACACUUUGCAUACCUUCUAAGCAGCUGCUAUUCCCAUACAGUACGCCAGCAUAUUCCUUUUAGUCGCUGAUUGACGGCCUCCCCAGGUUGCUUUAAUGUGGCUGGUAAGCAGAGGCGGGUAUGAAGUACCUUCUUUUUCUAUUUGACAAGCAAGAAAUCUUGACCAUUUCAGGUCGUUAAAUAUUCCAUGGCACUUCUCCAUGGAGGGAGUUGUUUUUUCAGCCCAGGUGUUCUCCAAAUGUCUUGCCAGACUUCUCUUGUGAUUUCAAAUUAAUAUAGCAUUUUUUUGACAUACUAAAGUGUAAUUUAAUACAGCUCAACUGCAAAAUGCAAUGUCUCAGAGAUGGCUGAAUUUCAAUAUUAAGUGAGCCUCUCACUGGUGCUUAUAUAACUUACAAAGCAUGCUUAGAUCUCUAGGGAAAGAGAAUCAUUAAAAACAGGGACUUUUGCUAUUAUUGCUAUUCCUAAAAGUAAUAAUUACCUCUUUCUUUCUGGGAAUUUUGUAUGGCUUUUUGCCUGUGGGAGCUGUCCCUGUCUUGAGGUUUUUCCAGUGGCCUUUAAACUUUAAUCUGGAGCCUUAGUAAACCUUUUAGGUACAGGCUGAGACAGAUUUUGUUACUAAAGUAAGCCCUCCGCUGAUGGAGCUGUGUGUUCGAUUCUUGGCAGAGCUGUGGAAGCACUUGGCUUGGUUCACUCGCUGUUCAUCUUUUUCAUGUAGUCUUGUGGGAGAUGUUGAUAAUUCUAAACUGCAGAUUAAAGGAAAGAGGAGCACAGCGUAUUUCAAAAAUACUGCAGGAAUUAUUCUAUUUGGUUAAAAAACCCUUUGGUUUGAGACGGUUUUUAAACACGGUGCGGUUCCUUUUAGGAGGGGGAUUAAAAGAUAAUGUAGUCAGGCUUUCGGUGAGGUCGGUGAGAUACAUGUCUGCACACAGUUAAAAAUGCAUCUUACAAGAAAUCACUUGACUGGUAGCAUUUGGUUUGUACAGGGAGGCUGUCAAAAUGAAGGAAACGCUAUACCAGCAACUGUAGCACCAGCUUAUCUUCUGUUGUUUUGUUGCACUUAUGCAUUAGUCUUUAAUUACUUUUUGAAUGUACUGGGUGCCUGUCGGCAACCGGAAACGAAGCAGGCAGCAAACUAGUUUUGCUUCGUUAUGUGAUGGGCUGAAAUUAGCAAAGCUCUCCUGAUGUCAGUGGAUUUAUGUGAACUUACAUCUGCCAAGGACUUGCAUGCUUUCAGGUCAGUGUGUCCUGUGCCCAAUGCAUUGCUGCCUCGCAAAUGUUUAUUAAAUCAUUGCAACAUGUGCCAAAUUCUGGGCAUCUUAAUAUGAACGUUUAUCUCAGAGUAGUUUCUGCUGGUUCCCUAGAAGCUGGGCUCUCUCAGGAGGCAGCAAGAGCAAUGUCAUUCAAGCUGUAGCUGAAAAUUGUCUCGCUAAUUCUGGUAUGCCUGUCUCUGGACAGUGUGAGGUGGUUAACCUUCUAAUUUAGGCACCUAAAACCAGAUGAUGUGAAAUCUGUAUCGUAGCAUAUGUCCUUCGCUUUUGUGGCUGUUCUCUGAAGUGGAGCACAUGCUGCCAGCAUGGUUGAUUUUGGCAUCUCUCAAAACACCCUGCAGUAUCUGAAUAUGCCUUGGAUGUUAACACUCCCAUGUGCUGCAGCCUGCUGCUGAUGCGCUGUUAGGACGCAAACGUGCUCCUGCCAAGCAGUGCUAAUCGAGCAGUGUCCCUAUAGGAUGACACAGUGGCACAUCACAUCGUCACAAUGGCACAUCACAUCGUCACUGGUUGUAGUCCUCUGGCACAAUCCUAGGCAGGACCUUGUGGUGAGGUGCUACAACGUCACCAUCAGAUGCUCCUGCAGCCAUCUCGAGCAGUGUUGGUGCCCAGGUGGGUGGAGGAGGAACCUGGCAUGUAGAAACGUGCUAGAUUCAUGACAGGGGACAGGUUAUAAUGGAGAGUCCAAAAGGCUGCACACUGUAUCAAGUAAUGGGAAGAAAAGUG